AAUUGGCGUAAGGCAAAGAGGCGCGGCUGGAAGAACCAGACUGAGAAAGUGCCACAGGGCGGGGGCCGCAUCCGCCCCUCGGCUUCUGGUUACUGACCCGACGGCUUUGUGAGUGAAAGUGAAGAGACACUUCGAGGCAGGAGGUCCUGGAACCAAUCCCCUCUGAUACUGAGAGACAACUAUUACACAAGAGAAAUAUUCUACCAUUCACAAAAUCUCGUUUAAGUGUUGUGAAAUACAAACACCAGGGAAUCAAGAACUUUAGAAAAUUGUGGCUGUGUUCCCAUAUGUGGUACAAAGAACCAGUGAGUCCCAUUUGUUGUGGUUCCUGCAUUCGAUGACUCCAGAUGUGCCACCACCGAGCUAGUCUUAUGACAACCUAGAAGGCAAAUUGGGAUGGCCCUAUAUUUGUCACUGAGAGCAGAAGGGUUGAGAACUUAGAUCCUGACAGGAGGCCCACCUUUAUUGGAGAAAUGGCUCUGCAACUUAGGACUAUUACAACUUGUAAAAAUUAGUGAGUUAUACGUGGGAAGCAUUUUGGCCUCACAAUUGAGAAGCAGAGAAGUGGUUCAAGGCUCAUGUAAGACUGCUGGGAUUUGAAAUUUAUCCUAUUAUUUGAAGACUGAAAUCAAAAUAUGAAGGUGGAGCAUCAUGUGUGCCUUCUGUCUUGUUCUCUACUAGGGUGUAAACCAUUUAACUAAAAAUAGUCUCCAAUUUGACACCUUCCCAACAUUUCACUAGUAUACUCCAAAUCUCCAUGCAGGGUUACAGACCUAUUUCAGCUGGCUCCAUUUACUCUGAGGCAG